GCAGAAUAUCCACCUCUCCAGUAACUCUGCAACUCAGUAAUACGGAGGGCCAGGUGGGCUUUCCUAAUGAAGGCCACAAGUUUCCAAAAGAUUUGCACUGUUGAGUUUCCUUGGGCACUUGAAUAUCUGUCCCUUCAGGAAGGCCUCUGACACUGCAAAGACCUUGCAGGACAGAUGAGACAGAAAAAGGAUGGCAGAGAAAAUGAGAUUUGCCCCAAAAUCACCCAUCUUAGUGGCAGAAUAGAGAUUAUAACACAGGUAAUUUGUACACUCUUCAGUAUAUAUCAACCACAAGGCCAGCUCUCAUUGGAGUAUCUAUAAUAGCCCAGACAGAUUAAUGAGGAUGGAAAGGGAACAUGCCUUGACAUUGAGUAGAUUAUUUGACUACUAACACGGUUAUUUUGGAGGGACAGUACAAAAUGAAGGAGCAAUUCCAUUUUUGGGAGCUGUACAUGUGAGAUUUAUUGGGUAUAGGUCUAGGGAAAAAUGUCACACCUCUUCUGUUGUAGUGCCUCAAAGUCAAAUUGCUGUGCAGUUCCUGUUAUUCCUUCCCCUCGGAACAUACACAGUGUGUUAUAGGGCAAGCAUGAAAUUAGGCUGGAGACUUCACAUGGACCUAAGAACAAGAAAAUACAAUUGGGGAUAUGGCUGCCUAAGCCCUUAGAUCUUUGUGAAGAACCCAGCCUUACAGCACAAUUCAUGCAGCAGCGAAUUCAGGAAUUGCCCUGGCUUGGCGCGCACAGAAGCGGUAGGAGGACACAGACCCUCACCUCUAAACUUGUGUUUAUCGCUCUGUGAGGGUGUUUCACAUCAGUCAGGUCCACACCCAGAAGUUAGUGAGUCUACCUGGCCACAGGUGCUGCUGGCGGGCUGCAGCCAGUUCCUGCUGGCCAAGAGGCUGCAGCAGCACAGAGCAGAGCCAGCAAGUGCCUAUGGAAAAGGCCAGCUUCCCUGUUGGGGAUACUUGCUUCAUUUCCCAGACCUUUGAGCUAGGCAGUCCCAACACCCUUGAGCCAUCACUGUGUGAUGCUUGCCUGUUCUUUGGCUGAAAGUCGUGGCAAGAAUAACCAUACUUUGAAGAGAGGGGAAAAUAUUCCAGUGGUGGCAGAGUUAUUAAGAUUGUCCUGGUUUGUUUCCAUGCCAUUUAGUUUGAGACAUGAGUUUUUCCUGUGUUUAUAUGCAGGAAUUGUUCCAAGUUGAAAGGCUUCUUUCAAGAGUGUAUAGCUGGAUUAUGUUGUGCACAACCUGGUACAGCCUGCCUGUUGAAGGGGUGUAAAUCAUUACAGCUCCAUACAGAUUCUCAUGCAACAGAGAAAAGCCUACUCCCUCCUUUUGGCCCAGUUAUUCCCUUCCUCACUUGAGCCACCCCGACACACCCAGGUUUAAGAGAUCAAUCACUGCCUUUAUCAGGGAAACAGGAAAGCUCCUUCUUUCCAGUACUUCAAAACAACAAUGCUGCAUCUUCCUGCUUCUCUCACACACAUUGCAAGCAGUUUCCUGAGCAUCCAGGAUAGCAAACUGGUGUCUCCCCAAAGGACACACCUCUCAACCUGUUGAGCACUUCUUGGCUCUGCAGUAUGGCUACUUACCAUUACCUGGGUCUUACUUCUCUAGUGAGAAACAAAAAAGCACCUAUGAAAUGCUGCAGAGAAGGGCAGACAAAGAACAUGGCCAAUUAUCAUCAUUUGUAAUUCUCUAUUCUAUUGUAAAUAUGUCGUGUACAUAUGUGGAUGUUUUUUCAUUAUUUACUGUCUUUAUGGAUAUUGUGUUAAAUGAGACGCUCUUAGUUUUAUUGUGUAACACUGUAAAUAACAUAACAUCCUUUAUUAUUUAUGCAUAGGCAUCUAACACUCAGAGAAAGUUAUCCUCAUAUUAUUUUAAGAUAUAUGUCACAAAGAUGUUGCAUUUUUCCUUUUACUUUGAAGAAAUUGUAAUAUAUCCUCUUUUUCCCCUCUUUUCCUUUAAAAAAAAGACAAAUGCUAAUUUAUUGUUCAGGAGAGAAAGGGGAUGUAACUGAAAGGCAAACUGUUCAAAGAAUAUGCUGUGGAAGCCACAAGCUACUGAUAAACUAAAGAAUUUAUUACCCCAAAUACAGCAAUAAGUAAUUGUUGAUUUAU
rnacentral:lncRNA from 1 species